GGGGCAUUAGCUCACCUGGUAGAGCGUGUGGUUCGCAAUCAUAAGGUAGUCGGUUCAAGUCCGAUAUGCUCCA
rnacentral:tRNA from 1 species